rnacentral:lncRNA from 1 species
GCCAACACAGGCUGGAAACCUUGGAUAAUGAACCCUGCAGGGGGGCAUAAUCGGGUAAGGGGGGUGGCCGAGGGCUGGGAGCCAAGGAGUGGUGCUGACCAGCUGAAGGGAGCUGCAGCCUCAGCACCAUGUCAGGUGCUUCUCUCUCCAUCCCUUACAGCUGGCAGAGGGAAUGCAUGAGCCACAAAAAAUACACACUGCGAGGAAAACAAAAUCCUCUUUUGGAUCUAAGUCCACAUGUGGGUUCAAACGAUCUCCAGCCAGAAGCAGGAGCAGAAGCACCUCUUUCUUUGAAACAAGUCCUGACCCAGCAAUCACAUUGUGCUCUGCAGCAAGGCAGGGCCAGCUCUGGCCGGAGCAUUCCCGACGGAUGAGUUCAAGGGUAUCCCUCAUGUCUUUGACAUGAUGCAGCAGUCACAGCUGGACGUUGUAUCUGUCUCAUUUGCAGGACAGGCUCUACUUAUUCAUUAGCAAAAUCAGCAGAAAACUCCCAGGUUUGUUCUGAUGGAAAAUCUAUGUCUGCCCCUGGCAACAGUAAUUUGUUAGAAACCCCCCUUCCCCCUCAGAUUCACUUCUUUCUAGAUGAAUUUGAUGCUGGGGUUUGUUCUUCCUUCCCUGUUUUGCAGAAAUUUCUCAGCUUUGAUGUUCUGGCUGAGUCAGAAUUGUCCUGCACCCCAAACAGCAUGAGCACUCUGCUUUGCUGAUGGACAGGUAAGGACACUGUUCCUCUGCAGAGCUGUCACCAGCAUGAAGCAUCUGGUGGGAAAAGGGGUGACAUGGAAAAAACAUUCAAUUAAUUACGAUAUUCUCUUAAAAACAGCUUCUCUGCACCAGAGCAACCCUGCAUUCGAUCCUAUCCAUCAGGCAGCAUUGCAGCUCCAGAGGAUGGGUGUCUGAGAGGUGGUGACUCAGGUGUGGCAGGUGGGAGGCAGGGAUGCUCCUGAGGGUGGAUAUGUGCUAUCCAUAUCUUCCAGAGGCAGAGUGAAGGUGACCAGAGAGUGAGGAGCCCUGCUUGGUCUCAGCUCAGGGCAGACCAGUGCUUGCAGGGCAGUAGACAAACACAGCCCUCAUCCCAAGGACCUGACACAGCCCAUCCCUGGAUGGAGGUAGCAGGAAUGGGAAGGCUGCUGUGGGAUGGCGCAUCCCUGAGGCCUCGGUCAAUGCCUGAUGUGUGCUGGGAGCCAUCCCUCUCCUCCAGCUCUGAGCUCCAAAGGUUUGGCUGCAAAUGCAGCUGUCCUGGAGCGGGCCCUUCUUGCAGGGCCAGGCUCAUUGUCCGGCCAACAGCCCCAGCCUGCGAGUGGGAGUGGUGAAUUAUCCUACAGCAGCCACUGCUUCCCUAAA